UAGCCUAUAUAAGCUUCAUGAGGGCAGGAAUCAUGCUGCUUUAGUUUACCACUAUGCCAAGCACAUAGCACAACAAAGAAAUUUAGGUGCGUAGAUGCCCAUCUUGGCAGACCUGGGUUUCUCUGUGGCUGUCACAGCACUUGAAGAAAAAAGUCUGAUGGAUAAAUUGGUUUUUAGUUUUAACGUUUUAACUCUAUCAUUAUCCUGUGUUCAUAGGAAAGGAGACUGACUACAAACCAGCAAAUGCUUCUCUAAUAUUACCAUUCUCCUCCACAGUCAAAAUACCACCUUGGCUCCCUUACCAACUGAUAAAACACAUGCUGUUUCUCAGCCUCUUCCACCUGCAGCUUUCCGAUGCUGCUCGUUCAUUACCACCUGAAGGUGCCUCACUUUUGUUCAGUUACUGACUUCCCAGUCAAUGUUGCCAGAACUAGAAGCUGCAAUUGGGCUAUUUUGUUGCUCUACAUAAACAGAGCCUUAAUCUUGCUUUAAGGCUCAAAGAAAGACUCUACAGGUGUCCACCUGGACUUCACUGCCUUUGAGAAGACUCUGUUGGUUCUUCUUAGACCAGGUUAUGUGCCCUUUCAUGUACUCCUUACCUUGGUACUUAUCAGAAUCAUAACUGAAGACCAAAACCACCAAGUACUCCUGCCGCUGCCCUGCCGCCUUUACUGAGAGGCACCACGACAGGUAACUGGCGUUACCACCCACCAUCAUCCCACACACACUACCUCACCACCCCAGCCAACAUAAGGGACUUGCAGACCUGCCUCUGUGUAAUCAGAGCAGAUGAAAGAGAUUCAGGGACACAGAUGCUGUGCUUGCCCUGCUGCGGGAGGGGAUGUCAAUUUCAAAGCCCUCUUUCCUAGAAAGAUGGACUCUGCCCUUGACACCCCAAGAGCUGACUGGCCACACACGGUGGUUGAAAUUGGGAGCUACGUGUUGCCAUAAUUGGCACUGCAUGGUGCGCGAAGAGCACUUGUAUCAAGGUGUUACAGCAGGAUACCACGACUGGGGUGAGGGGAUCAGCUGCAGACGAUGGCUAAAUCUUGCAAGGGGUCACCAGUGCUUAGGGAAACUGCCCUGGAGCAGGUCCCUCCCCGGCAGGGCAUGUUGAAGCCCCCUGGCGCCCUCACCUAUGAAAUAUGGAAAUGGUGAUGCUUGCCCCCCCGGGAUCAUCACAGAGACUACAUGAGAUAAUGUGAGAAACCUUCUGCAAAGUGGACCCACAAUUAAUGUUAGCUCCCUUGCUACGCUUUUGCUGCUCAGUGUUUAACGCCUGGAUAAAUACUUCGAGUGUGGAAAGAGACGGGGAGCUUUUCAUAAUGUCAGAUUCAACCUAAAAGGAAAAGUCUGUGUUUGCAGAGUUCUAUCUCCCUGGAUUACCAGGCAGAUUCUGAAAUUUAUUAACCUUUUUAGUCAUUUGUGAACACCAGCAAAAGGACUUCUUUGAAUAAUCAAAAAACCUCCUCAUUCUGGCAGCCAAAUAAAAGGAGGCCAGGUGUUCAGGAUUAAAAAUGCAUUACCCCCACCACUGACUUUCUGGGGAUGGUGUCAAGAAUUUUCUCUUUCAUAACAUGUACCAUUUCUAGAGUAGAGAAAGAGGAGGGAAAAGUGAACAGAGAUGAUAAGGAGACUUUAGGAAACAUGGGGGUGGACAGAAAAAUGAAGGGUGAAAGUGACAGACGGAAGACAGGAGAACCCUAUUUUUAGCCAGUUAUGGUCUUCUUCUGUCCCCUUAAAAAUAGACCCUCUUCCUGCCCACAGUGAAUGGAGUGGACAAUAUCUGGGGUUCCAUAACACCAUUUGUGUAUCUGUUUGAAGGCACUGACAUUGUGACUCUUAGACAAGGUUGGGUAGGCCUUUUAACACUAGAUACACAGCCACCAAAUUUCCUCUAGAACUGUUUCUAAGAAAAAUGCCCACAUUCACACUCUCGUUUUCUAAAAUUAUCCUUAGCACGAGGCUAAGACUUUUCUUGAAGUAAAACUAAGACAAUUUCUCGUUGCUAAUAAAACUAACCACACGCACACGUGUCGAGGCACCAUGCUAGGUCUUGACAUUCAUGGUACCCUUUUGGCAGAUGGGGACAUUUAGGCUCAGGAAGCGAGCAGGCUGGAUCCGGGCCACAGAGCUCAUAUGUAGUGGAACUAGUAUUCAAACCCAGGUCUCAUCCAAACCCUGACAUUGUCACCUCUGCCCUGUUAUCGGCUUUAGAAACCUUUAGCGGCUGCCACUCCAGCACCCGGGCUGAGCUCUGACACUGAGAAAUGCAGCCCAUGGGAAAGGCAAGACCGAGCACAGCACUGGUCGCUACCAGAAGGAGGAUUGUAUUACAAGCCCUUCAGACUUUGUACACAACACGCUCGUGGUGCACCAUGAGGCCGUUUUGAGGCUCAAGGAUUACUUUGGAAAGGCUUCUGUAAUUUCAGAGUUUAAUGAUAUGAAAUUAGACCUAGAAUCCUCAAACAAACCCAUUUCAGAACUACAAUACCCCUGGAAAUGAGCACUUCCAUUAGAUUUGAGACCAUUACGUAUCCAUCUCUGUGUGAGGGAAAUAGAUGUUUUCACGUUGGAACAAAUACAAAACAUCAUUUUCAUCCAGUACAAUUUCCUGAACUCCUUUUAUCCAAUUUCCCAGUUUUUUCCGAUAUUUGAAACUGAAAUAAAGCUUUCCUCUUAGCCCAGUUUCUUGUUCACUUUAACUCCGCAACAAAAUUAUUCUUAGGUUUUAUCACUGGCCUAUUUCUUAGAUAGGACUUGGGUUUCAUUAUUUCAUCAUGGGGUCAAAAAUAGAAAAAGAUGUUCCAGAAACAGACUUUUGUUAUUUUCUUUAUGAUCAUUGAAUCUAUAUGCCAUGUUGCCCAACCCUUGUACAUUAUGUGGGAGAUCCUUAAACAAUUACAAAUCUACUACAAACAAUAGUUUCUGGUACUCACAUAAUGAGAAAUGUCUUACAGAUGAUAAACACAAGGUAUUCACAAUAGAUUGAGAGAUUAAACAGCCUAAACAAAGGAAAAAUAUUCCCCAAUCUUAUGUGAACAAAGAUUGCAUACAUCACAAUUAGGAAAAGUUUCAUAUUUUUUAAACACGAUAAAAUGUUUUUUAGUCUUUGAGCAGUAUUAAAAAAUCCUCAAUUAAACAAAUACAUAUAUACAGCUACUAUUUAUAAGAUAUUCUCUAAGACACCAUUAUAGUAUUAGGACGAAUAAUAAAUACACGGGUCACUAACUUCGAGAAUCUUUUACUGUUAUAGGGGAGGUAAGAAAUGUAUUUAUAAGCUAUAAUAUAACGAUGAAUAUGAUGAGUGCUAUAAAGUACAAAGAAUUAUGGGGGUUCAGAAGAAGGAGGGAUUAUCUCUAUGUGAGAUCAGAAAAUGGUAGGCCGCCCAUUCCAGGAUAAUGAAAUGCAUGAGAAAAGAUAAUACCGUUUCAGGAAACAGUCCCCUUUGAAAUUCAAAAUGUCAGUGGGAAAUACAGCAGGAGUAUUAGCCUGAGAUUGGCCCACAGAAAGCAAAUGCCAGAUCCAAGGGUUUGGAGGUUAGUCAGUUGGAGAAAUAUAGACUCACUAGGUACAACUAGUAUUUCAAACAUUACCUAUUUUUACCUAUUUAAAAUAUCUCUUUUUUUAACAGCUUUAUUGAAGUAUAAUUGACAUAUAAUUAACUGUGCAUGUUUAAAGCAUAUAAUUUGGUAAAUUUUGACAUGUGUAUACACCCAUGAAACCAUCACCACAAUCAACAUAAUGAACAUAUCAAUCACCCCCAAAAGUUUCCUUGUGCCCCUUUGUAAUCUCUUCCUCCUGCCCCAUCGCUAGGCAAUCUGCUUUCUGCCACUGUAGGUUAAUUGGCACUUUCAAGAACUUUGUAUAAAUGGAAUUAUACACUAUUGACUCUUUAGUCUGACUUCUUUCACUCAACACAAUUUUUUGAGAUUCAUCCAUAUUGUUGGAUGUAUCAAUAGUUUGUUCCUUUUUGCUAGUAAGUGGUAUUCCAUUAUAUGGAUAUGCCAUAUUUGUUUUUUCAUUCACCAUGUUGAUGGACAUUUGCAUUGUUUUUAGUUUGGGGCUAUAACAAAUAAAGCUACUUUCAAUAUUCAUAUACAAGUCUUUGUAGGAACAUAUGCCUUCAUUUCUCCUAGAUUAAUGCCUAGCCAUGAAGUGGCUGAGUCACCUAGUGUGUUUAUGUUGCUUUUUAAUUAACUGCCAUACUAUUUGCCAAAAUGGUAUAUCACUUUGCAUUCCUGCCAGCAGUAUAUGAGAAUUUCAGUUGUUCCACGUCCUUGAGAAAGGUUGGCAUGGUCACCGCUUUUUAAUUUUGGACAGUCGAAUAGGUGUGUAGUGAUAUCUUAUUAUGGUUUUAAUUUGCAUUUCCCCAAUGAGUAAAAACCUUUCAUGUUUUUUUAUUUGCCACUUUUAUAGCUUCUUUGAUGAAGUAUCUGCUCAAAACUUUUGUCCAUUUUAAAAUUAUUAUUAUCACUGAGAUUUCAGAGUUCUUUAUGCAUUCUGUGUAUAAGCCCUUUAUCAGAUAUAUGAUGUACAAAUAUUUUCCCCAGUCUUUAGCUUUAAAGAGUAGAAGUUCUUAAUUUUGCUGAAGUCCCAUGUAUCGUUUUUUUUUUUUUUAAUGCAUUGUGCUUUUGCCUUUAAGGAAUCUUUGCCAAGUCACAAAGAUUUUCUGUGUUCUCUUCUUGUUUUAUAGUUUUAUAUUUAACUCUAUGAUCCAUGUUGAGUUCAUUUUUUUGUAUUGGUGCAAGAUAUGAAUUGGUUUGGGGGGGAAAUGUGGUUUUUUGGCAGAUAAAUAUCUAAUUGUUGUAGCAUCAUUUGUUGAAAAAACUAUCCUUUUCAUCUAAAUACACUUGUCAAAAAUCAAUUGACCAUAUAUGUGUAGGUCUAUUUCUGGAUUCUCUUCUGUUCCAUUGAUCUAUUUGUCUACCUUGAUGCCAAUACCACAUUGUCUUAGUUACUAAAGUGUUAUAAAAAGCUUUGAAGUAAGGUAGCUUAAGUCCUCCAAAUUGGUUCUCUUAUUUCGAAUUAUUUAAGCUAUUCUAGAUCUUUUGCAUUUCCAUAUAAAUUUUAGAAUCAGCUUAUUAAUUUCUACCAAAAAAAAACACUGGGAUUUUUGAUUGGGAUUGCUUUGAAUCUAUAUAAUAAUUUAGAGAACUGCUCUCCUAACCAUAUUGAGUCUUCCAAUCUGUAAACCCAAUAUAUCUCUGUAUUUUGAUCUUCUUUAAUUUCUCUCACCAAUGUUUUAUCAUUUUCCAUGUACCAAUCUUUCACACUUUUUCUCAAAUUAAUCUCCAAAUAUUUUAUAUUUUUAUGUUACUUUUAUAUUUAAUGUCUGGUUAUUCAUAGCUAGUACUAUAUAUUGAAAUCCAAUGAAGUUUUGUAUAUAAUUUUGUAUCCUACAGUCUUGCUAAAGUCACUUAAUAAUUCUGGGAGCUCUUUUGUAGGUUACAUAGGAUGUCCUGUGUAAAUGAUCAUGUUGUCUCUGAAUAAAGAGAGUUUUACUUCUUUCUUCCCAAUC